rnacentral:rRNA from 1 species
AUUGAACGCUGGCGGCAUGCCUUACACAUGCAAGUCGAACGGCAGCACGGGAGCAAUCCUGGUGGCGAGUGGCGAACGGGUGAGUAGAGUAUCGGAACGUGCCCAGUCGUGGGGGAUAACGUAGCGAAAGCUACGCUAAUACCGCAUACGAACUAUGGAUGAAAGCGGGGGAUCGCAAGACCUCGCGCGAUUGGAGCGGCCGAUAUCAGAUUAGGUAGUUGGUGGGGUAAAGGCCUACCAAGCCGACGAUCUGUAGCUGGGCUGAAAGGACGACCAGCCACACUGGGACUGAGACACGGCCCAGACUCCUACGGGAGGCAGCAGUGGGGAAUUUUGGACAAUGGGCGCAAGCCUGAUCCAGCAAUGCCGCGUGCAGGAUGAAGGCCUUCGGGUUGUAAACUGCUUUUGUACAGAACGAAAAGGUUUCUACUAAUACUAGGAGCUCAUGACGGUACUGUAAGAAUAAGCACCGGCUAACUACGUGCCAGCCGCCGCAGUAA